rnacentral:rRNA from 1 species
GAUGAACGCUGGCGGCGUGCCUAAUACAUGCAAGUCGAGCGAAUGGAUUAAGAGCUUGCUCUUAUGAAGUUAGCGGCGGACGGGUGAGUAACACGUGGGUAACCUGCCCAUAAGACUGGGAUAACUCCGGGAAACCGGGGCUCAUACCGGAUAACAUUUUGAACCGCAUGGUUCGAAAUUGAAAGGCGGCUUCGGCUGUCACUUAUGGAUGGACGCGCGUCGCAUUAGCUAGUUGGUGGGGUAACGGCUCACCAAGGCAACGAUGCGUAGCCGACCUGAGAGGGUGAUCGGCCACACUGGGGCUGAGACACGGCCCAGACUCCUACGGGAGGCAGCAGUAGGGAAUCUUCCGCAAUGGACGAAAGUCUGACGGAGCAACGCCGCGUGAGUGAUGAAGGCUUUCGGGUCGUAAAACUCUGUUGUUAGGGAAGAACAAGUGCUAGUUGAAUAAGCUGGCACCCUGACGGUACCUAACCAGAAAGCCACGGCUAACUACGUGCCAGCCGCCGCCGUAA